GGAGGAGGAAAUGGCAGAAUCACAGGGCAUCCUCAGCAUGGCAGCAGAGAAGGAUCCCCCAAAGGCUGGGCACCCCGAAGAGGAAGUAGGAAAGAGGAACAUGGGCAGGUAAUCCUAUAAUACAAAGAGCUGCCUUCCCCUAGGAUUGAGAAGACUAGCUGCUUCAGGGGCAGGAUUCACACCAAACAGCCAGUGACCUAACCCUUCCUCCUCCAUGAUACUAUCAAUCCAAACUUUCUGCUCUCUGAUGGUCCACAGUGAUCAUUUCUGGGGG
rnacentral:lncRNA from 1 species